UACGUAGGGCGCAAGCGUUGUCCGGAAUUAUUGGGCGUAAAGAGCUCGUAGGCGGUUUUGUCGCGUCUGCUGUGAAAACCUAAGGCUCAACCUUGGGCUUGCAGUGGGUACGGGCAGACUAGAGUGCGGUAGGGGUGACUGGAAUUCCUGGUGUAGCGGUGGAAUGCGCAGAUAUCAGGAGGAACACCCGAUGGCGAAGGCAGGUCACUGGGCCGCA
rnacentral:rRNA from 1 species